GAAUGAUGCAUUGGCCCACGUGGACCACCUUCCAUUUCCCAAGACUUUUUGAAGGCAAUGAAUGAGAAGAAAGCAGAGAAAACAGUGGGCGUGAGGUCAGAUGACUCAGGCUUGAGUACUGAUCACAUCAAGGAUUGGACGCACUGCUCUUAGGAAGGCACAACUUCUACUACUUUCAGUCUUAUCAACUGUGAGAGGUGUACCCUUGCUGUAGAUGCCACCCGCCCAGCAGUCCUCAUCAUCUUGGCCCAGGAUCACCUGAAACAGAUGAUCCUCCUUUUGAGCUACCAUCAGAAGGUC
rnacentral:lncRNA from 10 species